rnacentral:snRNA from 1 species
GGAUGUGAGGGCUAUCUGGCUGUGACAUCUGUCACCGCACUGAUUGCCAGUGUUGAUUUGGCUGAUCUGGCUGGCUAGGUGGAUGUCCCCUUCCUCCCUUACUGCUCCAUGUGCAUCUCUCCCAAAGCUGCCUGCUGAGUCGAAGAGGAUGACCUUCCUAGAUAGAAGGGGACUGUUCUUCAGUUAAGAGUAUACGAGUAGCUGCACUCCCCUGCUAGAACCUCCAAACCAGCUCUAUAGGAUUUUCUGUGUUACUGCAAAUAAUUACAGUUUUGCACCUUUCUUUCCAAUCAUUAUAUCUUCUAU